AUUGAACGCUGGCGGCAUGCUUUACACAUGCAAGUCGAACGGCAGCGCGGGCUUCGGCCUGGCGGCGAGUGGCGAACGGGUGAGUAAUACAUCGGAACGUGCCCAGUAGUGGGGGAUAGCUCGGCGAAAGCCGGAUUAAUACCGCAUACGACCUGAGGGUGAAAGCGGGGGAUCUUCGGACCUCGCGCUAUUGGAGCGGCCGAUGGCAGAUUAGCUAGUUGAUGGGGUAAAGGCCUACCAAGGCGACGAUCUGUAGCUGGUCUGAGGGGACGACCAGCCACACUGGGACUGAGACACGGCCCAGACUCCUACGGGAGGCAGCAGUGGGGAAUUUUGGACAAUGGGCGAAAGCCUGAUCCAGCAAUGCCGCGUGUGUGAUGAAGGCCUUCGGGUUGUAAAGCACUUUUGGCGGGAACGAAAAGGACUGUGCCAAUACCACGGUUCGAUGACGGUACCCGCAGAAUAAGCACCGGCUAACUACGUG
rnacentral:rRNA from 1 species